AAGGAAAGCCCUAUCUAUUGCAGUCUGCAGCCUUGUACUUAUCCCCUUUAGUUCUUGGUACAGCAUGAACCCUUGAACCAUCAGAUAAACUAUAAAGACAGCCAGGAUGCAGAGUCCCAAGACACAGCAGGGGCUCAAAAGUAAUUGGACAAUUGACUCAAAGGCUAUUUCAUGGGCAGGUGUGGG